UACGGAGGGUGCAAGCGUUAUCCGGAUUUACUGGGUUUAAAGGGUGUGUAGGCGGGCUUUUAAGUCAGCGGUGAAAUCUCCGGGCUCAACCCGGAAACUGCCAUUGAUACUAUUAGUCUUGAAUUUUGUUGAGGUAGGCGGAAUAAGUCAUGUAGCGGUGAAAUGCAUAGAUAUGACUUAGAACACCAAUUGCGAAGGCAGCUUGCUAAACAAAUAUUGACGCUGAGGCACGAAAGCGUGGGGAUCAAACAGG
rnacentral:rRNA from 1 species